rnacentral:misc_RNA from 1 species
GAUGAAGAACGUAGCGAAAUGCGAUAAGUAGUGUGAAUUGCAGAAUUCAGUGAAUCAUCGAAUCUUUGAACGCACAUUGCGCCCCUUGGUAUUCCAUGGGGCAUGCCUGUUCGAGCGUCAUUUGUACCUUCAAGCUUUGCUUGGUGUUGGGUGUUUGUCUCGCCUUUGCGUGUAGACUCGCCUUAAAAUAAUUGACAGCCGGCGUAUUGAUUUCGGAGCGCAGUACAUCUCGCGCUUUGCACUCAUAACGACAGCGUCCAAAAGUACAUUUUACACUCUUGACCUCGGAUCAGGUAGGGAUACCCGCUGAACUUAAGCAUAUCAAUAAGCGGAGGA